rnacentral:rRNA from 1 species
AGAGUUUGAUCCUGGCUCAGAACAAACGAUGGCGGUAUGCUUAACACAUGCAAGUCGAACGAGAAAGCACCUUCGGGUGUUAGUAAAGUGGCGCACGGGUGAGUAACGCGUAGACAACCUACCUCUUAGACUGGAAUAACUCUUCGAAAGGAGGGCUAAAACCGGAUAACACCAUGCUUCUAAUGAAGCUUGGUUGAAAAGUUCGCUGCUAAGAAAUGGGUCUGCGUAACAUUAGCUAGUUGGUGGAGUAAAAGCCUACCAAGGCAACGAUGUUUAGCGGGUCUGAGAGGAUGAUCCGCCACACUGGAACUGAAACACGGUCCAGACUCCUACGGGAGGCAGCAGUGGGGAAUUUUGCGCAAUGGGCGAAAGCCUGACGCAGCAAUACCGCGUGGGUGAAGAAGGCCCUUGGGUCGUAAAGCCCUUUGUCUCAGGGAAGAUAAUGACGGUACCUGAGGAAUAAGCACCGGCUAACUCCGUGCCAGCAGCCGCGGUAAUACGGAGGGUGCAAGCGUUGUUCGGAUUUACUGGGCGUAAAGGGCGCGUAGGCGGUCCUAAUAGCUAAGGGUGAAAUCCCGGGGCUCAACCUCGGAACUGCUCUUAGAACUGUAGGACUUGAGAUGGUCAGAGGCAAGUGGAAUUCCUGGUGUAGAGGUGAAAUUCGUAGAUAUCAGGAGGAACACCGGCGGCGAAGGCGGCUUGCUGGGGCCAAUCUGACGCUGGGGCGCGAAAGCGUGGGGAGCAAACAGGAUUAGAUACCCUGGUAGUCCACGCUGUAAACGAUGAGCACCGGCUGUUUGAGGAAUCGACCCCUCAAGUAGCGCAGCUAACGCGAUGAGUACUCCGCCUGGGAACUACGGUCGCAAGACUAAAACUCAAAGGAAUUGACGGGGACCCGCACAAGCGGUGGAGCAUGUGGUUUAAUUCGACGCAACGCGAAGAACCUUACCUGGGUUUGACAUUCUUAGAUCGCCUGAGAAAUCAGGUUUCCUCUUCGGAGGCUGAGUGACAGGUGCUGCAUGGCUGUCGUCAGCUCGUGUCGUGAGAUGUUGGGUUAAGUCCCGCAACGAGCGCAACCCUUGUCCCUAGUUGCCAUCGGUUAGGCCGGGAACUCUAGGGAGACUGCCUGUGUCAAGCAGGAGGAAGGUGGGGAUGACGUCAAGUCCUCAUGGCCUUUAUAUCCAGGGCUACACACGUGCUACAAUGGCGACUACAAAGAGUGGCAAUACCGCGAGGUGGAGCGAAUCUCAAAAAAGUCGUCUCAGUUCGGAUUGCAGUCUGCAACUCGACUGCAUGAAGUCGGAAUCGCUAGUAAUCGUAGAUCAGCAUGCUACGGUGAAUACGUUCCCGGGUCUUGUACACACCGCCCGUCACACCAUGGGAGUUGAUAUUGGCAGAAAACGCUGAGCUAACCCUUUAGGGGGAGGCAGGUGUUCAAGCUAGUGUUGACGACUGGGGUGAAGUCGUAACAAGGUA